rnacentral:rRNA from 1 species
CCUACGGGAGGCAGCAGUGGGGAAUUGUUCGCAAUGGGCGCAAGCCUGACGACGCAACGCCGCGUGGGGGAUGAAGGUCUUCGGAUUGUAAACCCUUGUCGAGCGGGACGAAUGGCCCGCGACCUAAUACGUCGUGGGAGUGACGGUACCGCUAAAGGAAGCCACGGCUAACUCUGUGCCAGCAGCCGCGGUAAUACAGAGGUGGCAAGCGUUGUUCGGAAUUACUGGGCGUAAAGGGCGCGUAGGCGGCCUUCUAAGUCAGACGUGAAAUCCCCCGGCUUAACCUGGGAACUGCGUCUGAUACUGGAAGGCUUGAGUGCGGGAGAGGGAUGUGGAAUUCCAGGUGUAGCGGUGAAAUGCGUAGAUAUCUGGAGGAACACCGGUGGCGAAGGCGGCAUCCUGGACCGACACUGACGCUGAGGCGCGAAAGCUAGGGUAGCAAACGGGAUUAGAUACCCCGGUAGUCCUAGCCCUAAACGAUGAGUGCUUGGUGUGGCGGGUAUCGAUCCCUGCCGUGCCGAAGCUAACGCAUUAAGCACUCCGCCUGGGGAGUACGGUCGCAAGGCUGAAACUUAAAGGAAUUGACGG